rnacentral:rRNA from 1 species
UGGGGAAUAUUGCGCAAUGGGGGCAACCCUGACGCAGCAACGCCGCGUGAAGGAUGAAGGUUUUCGGAUUGUAAACUUCUUUUGUCAAGGACGAAGAAAGUGACGGUACUUGACGAAUAAGCCACGGCUAACUACGUGCCAGCAGCCGCGGUAAUACGUAGGUGGCAAGCGUUGUCCGGAUUUACUGGGUGUAAAGGGCGAGUAGGCGGGUUUGCAAGUCAGAUGUGAAAUACCGGGGCUUAACCCCGGGGCUGCAUUUGAAACUGUAGAUCUUGAGUGAUGGAGAGGCAGGGCGGAAUUCCCGGUGUAGCGAUGGAAUGCGUAGAUAUCGGGGAGGAACGCCAGUGGCGAAGGCGGCCUGCUGGACAUUAACUGACGCUGAGGAGCGAAAGCGUGGGGAGCAAACAGGAUUAGAUACCC